rnacentral:rRNA from 1 species
UACGGAGGGUGCAAGCAUUAAUCGGAUUUAUUGGGCGUAAAGGGCGCGUAGGCGGGGAUAUAAGUCAGACGUGAAAUCCCGGGGCUCAACCUCGGAACUGCAUUUGAAACUAUAUCUCUCGAGGGUAGAAGGAGAAAACGGAAUUCCACAAGUAGCGGUGAAAUGCGUAGAUAUGUGGAAGAACACCGGUGGCGAAGGCGGUUUUCUAUUUUAUUCCUGACGCUGAUGCGCGAAAGCAAGGGGAUCAAACAGG